UACGUAGGGUGCAAGCGUUGUCCGGAAUCAUUGGGCGUAAAGCGCGUGUAGGCGGUCCGGUAAGUCCGCUGUGAAAGUCCAGGGCUCAACCUUGGGAUGCCGGUGGAUACUGUCGAACUCGAGUCCGGAAGAGGAGUGUGGAAUUCCGUGGUGUAGCGGUGAAAUGCGCAGAAUAUCAGGAGGAACACCGGUGGCGAAGGGCGGGCUCCUCGUGGGAACGGUACUGACGGCUGAGACGGCGAAAGCGUGGGGAGCGAACAGG
rnacentral:rRNA from 1 species